GAAACGUAAAACAGGAUUCAUGUACAGGGGAUUAAGCAAACAUCACACAACAGCAAAAACACUAGGGAAAGCACAAGUCUAUCCGUAUAUGACAGUACAGAUCUAUACAUUACAUGACCGUUACUCUUUUAAUUACAUCAUGUCCACUACACUAUUACAGCAUACAUUCAAGCACAACUUUCCUCUGUCCUCUUGCUGACUUUGAUUUCCCAUAGCUAUCUCAGGACCUGCAAAACUGGGGUUAAGGGAGUGGGAUGAGCUCUAGAGCCCAGUGAGGAGGAACAAUAAAACAAUUCAUUAAUUACAUGUUCGCAUGAAAUGCAUCACAUCACAAUCAUAUCAGCUCAAAGAUGAACUUGUCACCAGUAGCCCUCAACUACAUGUUAGAAUACCAACAGUGCCAAGGAGACAAUGUCAUCACCUGGUCUUCCACUUAUCUCUCUGAUAUCAUAGCAUGACUAACUGUGCCAAGGAGACGAGGUCUCACCUGGUCUACACUUCACUCUGAUUUGACAGCCCAGCUGUCUCACUCAUAGUACCAGGAGCGACCUGGACUAUCCAGGGGCGACCUGGUAUGGCUAUCUCAUGCCAUAACUCUGUAUCUGCUCUCUGUCAAGGGCUAAGGAUCAUCCAACAUUCAUCCACAGGAACAACAACAUAUGCAAUGCAUCAUAUUCGUGAAGUCUAAUGCACACAACCUAAUAUAUAACAUGGCAGUUUAUGAUGUAUGGAGCAUGCUAGAAUCAUGUCAUUUUUUUAAGAUAAAGCUUCAGUUUAGUUCCACUCACCUGUAGCCACUGCUUGGCUAACUCUGGGCUACCUCUAACUCUGCAAUAGCUACGACGACUGCUAAACACCUCGGUUCCUCGGGUCCAAUC
rnacentral:lncRNA from 1 species